UACGGAGGGUGCAAGCGUUAUCCGGAUUUACUGGGUUUAAAGGGUGCGUAGGUGGGCAGGUAAGUCAGUGGUGAAAUCUCCGAGCUUAACUCGGAAACUGCCAUUGAUACUAUCUGUCUUGAAUAUCCUGGAGGUGAGCGGAAUAUGUCAUGUAGCGGUGAAAUGCUUAGAUAUGACAUAGAACACCGAUUGCGAAGGCAGCUCACUACGGGAUCAUUGACGCUGAGGCACGAAAGCGUGGGGAUCAAACAGG
rnacentral:rRNA from 1 species